rnacentral:rRNA from 1 species
GACGAACGCUGGCGGCGUGCCUAAUACAUGCAAGUAGAACGCUGAAGACUUUAGCUUGCUAAAGUUGGAAGAGUUGCGAACGGGUGAGUAACGCGUAGGUAACCUGCCUACUAGCGGGGGAUAACUAUUGGAAACGAUAGCUAAUACCGCAUAACAGCAUUUAACCCAUGUUAGAUGCUUGAAAGGAGCAAUUGCUUCACUAGUAGAUGGACCUGCGUUGUAUUAGCUAGUUGGUGGGGUAACGGCCUACCAAGGCGACGAUCAGUAGCCGGCCUGAGAGGGUGAACGGCCACAUUGGGACUGAGACACGGCCCAA